rnacentral:rRNA from 1 species
UACGUAGGGUGCAAGCGUUGUCCGGAAUUAUUGGGCGUAAAGAGCUCGUAGGCGGUUUGUCGCGUCUGCUGUGAAAACCCGAGGCUCAACCUCGGGCCUGCAGUGGGUACGGGCAGACUAGAGUGCGGUAGGGGAGAUUGGAAUUCCUGGUGUAGCGGUGGAAUGCGCAGAUAUCAGGAGGAACACCGAUGGCGAAGGCAGGUCUCUGGGCCACUACUGACGCUGAGACGCGAAAGCGUGGGGAGCGAACCGG